UACAGAGGUGGCAAGCGUUGUUCGGAAUUACUGGGCGUAAAGGGCGCGUAGGCGGUCCUGUAAGUCUUGUGUGAAAUCCCUCGGCUUAACUGAGGAACUGCACGAGAUACUGCGAGACUUGAGUUCGGGAGAGGAAAGCGGAAUUCCGGGUGUAGCGGUGAAAUGCGUAGAUAUCCGGAGGAACACCGGUGGCGAAGGCGGCUUUCUGGACCGACACUGACGCUGAGGCGCGAAAGCUAGGGGAGCAAACAGG
rnacentral:rRNA from 1 species